CAGCUCUGCUCCGUGAUAGAGAGACCUAAAUUUUGGCUACACAUGGAUCUCAUUUCUUAAUGCUCAUUGCCAGAUUGGCCAUGUUUCCACCCAACUGGGUUUCUUUGAACACGUUGGACUGGAAAAAGUAGCUUUGGGCGGGUUGCUGACAUCUGAGUCGCUUUCACAACAUUAGUUACCCAUUGGCAGAACUCGCGGUGAAUCCUGAGAUGAUGAAAUGGUCAAGUCCUGCUGCAGCAAAGCAUCCCCACACCAUAACACAUCCAUCUCUAUGAUUCACAGCUGAUAUUUUCCUCAAAUGUUUUAUUUGGUUUAUGCAAAACAUGUCCUCUGUUCUAGAGUCAAAGUUUAUUAAAAUGUAUCUGUCUGAAGAAAGUUUUUUUCCUAGGAAAGCUAGGGAACACUGGAACUAAAAAGGAAUGCUCAUCAGGGGUAAACUAGUGAGAACG